rnacentral:rRNA from 1 species
UACUCUGGCCAAAAUACUCCAAAGCCACCAUAUCCGUCCUGUUCUGAAGUUAAGCAGGGCUAGCCCUGGCUAGUAUUUGGAUGGGAGAUCGAUAGCAAAUACCAGGUGCUGUAGGCU